rnacentral:rRNA from 1 species
GCUUACGGCCACACCGCCUGGUUCACGUUUGAUCUCGGAAGCUAAGAUAGGUUGGGCCUGGUUAGUACUUGGAUGGGGAGACCGCCUGGGAAUACCAGGUGCUGUAAGCU